GUGGGGAAUCUUCCGCAAUGGACGAAAGUCUGACGGAGCAACGCCGCGUGAGUGAUGAAGGUCUUCGGAUUGUAAAACUCUGUUGUCAGGGACGAAUGUGCGAACGUUGAAUAAGCGUUUGUAUUGACGGUACCUGACGAGGAAGCCACGGCUAACUACGUGCCAGCAGCCGCGGUAAUACGUAGGUGGCAAGCGUUGUCCGGAAUUAUUGGGCGUAAAGAGCAUGUAGGCGGGCUUUUAAGUCCGACGUGAAAAUGCGGGGCUUAACCCCGUAUGGCGUUGGAUACUGGAAGUCUUGAGUGCAGGAGAGGAAAGGGGAAUUCCCAGUGUAGCGGUGAAAUGCGCAGAUAUUGGGAGGAACACCAGUGGCGAAGGCGCCUUUCUGGACUGUGUCUGACGCUGAGAUGCGAAAGCCAGGGUAGCAAACGGGAUUAGAAACCCGGGUAGUCC
rnacentral:rRNA from 1 species